UACGUAGGGGGCAAGCGUUGUCCGGAUUUAUUGGGCGUAAAGAGCGUGUAGGCGGCCAUACAGGUCCAUUGUGAAAACUCGAGGCUCAACCUCGAGACGUCGAUGGAAACCGUAUGGCUAGAGUCCGGAAGAGGAGAGUGGAAUUCCUGGUGUAGCGGUGAAAUGCGCAGAUAUCGUAAGGAAGACCAGUGGCGAAGGCGGGUCUCUGGACAGUUCCUGACGCUGAGGCACGAAGGUCAGGGGAGCAAACGGGG
rnacentral:rRNA from 1 species